GUAACCGAACUCGACUGUCCUCGGGAUGCCUGGACCAACCCCGCUGGCUGGACAGCGUCGAGGGGCGGGGGGGGGGGGCACUUGCAGAACUUCUAGCACCUCCGGAGAGAGAAAAGUGAGGGAAGCCCAGGUCUAGUGAGCCAAAAAGCCCGGAAAAGCAAGCCCUCCCCAGCACCCUAAAACGAAAACCCAGAUGCCCUUCAGGACAAUCGGCCAUCACCCAAAGCACAGAGCAGCGAAUCUCCAGUCGAAGGACCCGUUUAUUCGUGGCUGCUUUGGUCCUCCGCUUUCUUAAGGAGUUAAAUUCAUAUCAUCAAAGGCUCUUAUUCAAGUAAGCAACAAUACUCCAAUCUGGCUAUGCAUGAAAAUCACUUGGGAUGUUUCUAAAAGUGAGAUUCCUGGAUCUACCCUGAAGUUCUGUCUAUUGAGAGGACCUGAAAAGAAUGUCAUCCCAGUAACUCUGAUCACAGCUACCACCCUAAAUCUUGGUUUUGGAAUACCAUUUUGUCAUUCAAAGAAAUGGAGGCUUCUUAAGGAGUGGCUGUUUCUACCUCUGAAACAAGGAAAAUAGAAGACAGACCUGGGACUUGUUGUACCAGAUGGCAAGGAAGCCCUCAAAAACCAAUGGGGUGAUGAUAAAAAGAUUCAGGCGCCACCUUGAAGGGACUUCCACUAGCCAAAUUUCGGGAAGCUUGAGAAUCAAAAAAAUCACUGCACUUGAUUGUAACACACUGAGUAUGUAAAAAGUGAUGUGUCCAUUGUGAUACUUCCUAAAAACAAAAACAAAACAAAACAAAAAAACACCUUUUAAGGAAGAAGGAAAGGGGAAAAAAAAGGAAAAGAAGAAAAGAGUGUCAGGUAAGAAAUUUAAAAAGAAAUUCUAAAAAUAUAAAACACCAUUUUGCAAUCCACAACGUAAUAACGGAUUCAAGCAAGGGUCACAAAAGGCUAAAAAAAAAAACAAAAAACAUUGAGUGAAAAGUCAAUGGGAAACCAUGGCUCAAUAGUCUCACGGCUAUAAUAGAUUACAAACUGCAAAGGGGAAAAUGUAUUUUUACAAUGAAGAUUCUUGUCAGUCACCCCUUUGUCAAGUUUUCAAACUUCACGCCAUUAAUGAGACAAACUGAUGUGUGUCCCGUGGUAGGAUGCAGUAUAAUGUACAGAAGAUCAGCUGUGAAGUAUUUUUGCCAAAAACAUUUAACCUGGUUUUAAUUAAGGCUGUAGACCACAUUGUUCAAUGAAAAUAUGUGAACUACAUAUGUAAUUUAAAACUUUCUAGUAGCCACAUUAAAAAAAGAAA